rnacentral:rRNA from 1 species
CCGACCGGCGCACGGUGAGUAACGCGUAUGCAACUUACCUAUCAGAGGGGGAUAACCCGGCGAAAGUCGGACUAAUACCGCAUGAAGCAGGGGCCCCGCAUGGGGAUAUUUGCUAAAGAUUCAUCGCUGAUAGAUAGGCAUGCGUUCCAUUAGGCAGUUGGCGGGGUAACGGCCCACCAAACCGACGAUGGAUAGGGGUUCUGAGAGGAAGGUCCCCCACAUUGGUACUGAGACACGGACCAA